GAUGAACGCUGGCGGCGUGCCUAAUACAUGCAAGUCGAGCGAAUGGAUUAAGAGCUUGCUCUUAUGAAGUUAGCGGCGGACGGGUGAGUAACACGUGAGAACCUGCCCAUAAGACUGGGAUAACUCCGGGAAACCGGGGCUAAUACCGGAUAACAUUUUGAAACGCAUGGUUCGAAAUUGAAAGGCGGCUUCGGCUGUCACUUAUGGAUGGACCCGCGUCGCAUUAGCUAGUUGGUGAGGUAACGGCUCACCAAGGCAACGAGGCGUAGCCGACCUGAGAGGGUGAUCGGCCACACUGGGACUGAGACACGGCCCAGACUCCUACGGGAGGCAGCAGUAGGGAAUCUUCCGCAAUGGACGAAAGUCUGACGGAGCAACGCCGCGUGAGUGAUGAAGGCUUUCGGGUCGUAAAACUCUGUUGUUAGGGAAGAACAAGUGCUAGUUGAAUAAGCUGGCACCUUGACGGUACCUAACCAGAAAGCCACGGCUAACUACGUGCCAGCCGCCGCAGUAA
rnacentral:rRNA from 1 species